GAUGAACGCUGGCGGCGUGCCUAAUACAUGCAAGCCGAGCGAAUGGAUUAAGAGCUUGCUCUUAUGAAGUUAGCGGCGGACGGGUGAGUAACACGUGGGUAACCUGCCCAUAAGACUGGGAUAACUCCGGGAAACCGGGGCUAAUACCGGAUAACAUUUUGAACCGCAUGGUUCGAAAUUGAAAGGCGGCUUCGGCUGUCACUUAUGGAUGGACCCGCGUCGCAUUAGCUAGUUGGUGAGGUAACGGCUCACCAAGGCAACGAUGCGUAGCCGACCUGAGUGUGAGAUCGGCCACACGGGGACUGAGACCCGGCCCAGACUCCUACGGGAGGCAGCGGUAGGGAAUCUUCCGCAAUGGACGAAAGUCUGACGGAGCAACGCCGCGUUAGUUAUGAAGGCUUUCGGGUCGUAAAACUCUGUUGUUAGGGAAGAACAAGUGCUAGUUGAAUAAGCUGGCACCUUGACGGUACCUAACCAGAAAGCCACGGCUAACUACGUGCCAGCAGCCGCCGUAA
rnacentral:rRNA from 1 species